rnacentral:rRNA from 1 species
AAGCAUAUCAAUAAGCGGAGGAAAAGAAACCAACAGGGAUUGCCUCAGUAACGGCGAGUGAAGCGGCAACAGCUCAAAUUUGAAAUCUGGCCGCAAGGUCCGAGUUGUAAUUUGUAGAGGAUGCUUUUGGCGAGGUGCCUUCCGAGUUCCCUGGAACGGGACGCCAUAGAGGGUGAGAGCCCCGUACGGUAGGACCACCAAGCCUCUGUAAAGCUCCUUCGACGAGUCGAGUAGUUUGGGAAUGCUGCUCUAAAUGGGAGGUGUACGUCUUCUAAAGCUAAAUACCGGCCAGAGACCGAUAGCGCACAAGUAGAGUGAUCGAAAGAUGAAAAGCACUUUGAAAAGAGGGUUAAAAAGUACGUGAAAUUGUUGAAAGGGAAGCAUUCAUGACCAGACUUGGGCUUGGUUGAACAUCCGGCGUUCUCGCCGGUGCACUCUGCCAGUCCAGGCCAGCAUCAGUUUGCCCCGGGGGAUAAAGGCGGCGGGAAUGUGGCUCCCUUCGGGGAGUGUUAUAGCCCGUCGUGUAAUGCCCUGGGGCGGACUGAGGAACGCGCUUCGGCACGGAUGCUGGCGUAAUGGUCAUCAAUGACCCGUCUUGAAACACGGACCAAGGAGUCGUCUUCGUAUGCGAGUGUUCGGGUGUCAAACCCCUACGCGUAAUGAAAGUGAACGUAGGUGAGAGCUUCGGCGCAUCACCGACCGAUCCUGAUGUUCUCGGAUGGAUUUGAGUAAGAGCAUACGGGGCCGGACCCGAAAGAAGGUGAACUAUGCCUGUAUAGGGUGAAGCCAGAGGAAACUCUGGUGGAGGCUCGCAGCGGUUCUGACGUGCAAAUCGAUCGUCAAAUAUGGGCAUGGGGGGCGAAAGACUAAUCGAACCUUCUAGUAGCUGGGUUUCCGCGA